ACGACUCUCGGCAACGGAUAUCUCGGCUCUCGCAUCGAUGAAGAGCGUAGCGAAAUGCGAUACUUGGUGUGAAUUGCAGAAUCCCGUGAACCAUAGAGUCUUUGAACGCAAGUUGCGCCCGAAGCCAUUAGGCCGAGGGCACGUCUGCCUGGGCGUCA
rnacentral:rRNA from 1 species